rnacentral:rRNA from 1 species
GAUGAACGCUGGCGGCGUGCCUAAUACAUGCAAGUCGAGCGAACAGACGAGGAGCUUGCUCCUCUGACGUUAGCGGCGGACGGGUGAGUAACACGUGGAUAACCUACCUAUAAGACUGGGAUAACUUCGGGAAACCGGAGCUAAUACCGGAUAAUAUAUUGAACCGCAUGGUUCAAUAGUGAAAGACGGUUUUGCUGUCCCUUAUAGAUGGAUCCGCGCCGCAUUAGCUAGUUGGUAAGGUAACGGCUUCCCAAGGCAACGAUGCGUAGCCGACCUGGGAGGGUGAUCCGCCACACGGGAACUGAAACACGGUCCAGACACCGACGGAAGGCAGCAGUAGGGAAGCUUCCGCGAUGGGCGAAAGCCUGACGGAGCAGCGCCGCGUGGGUGAUGAGGGGCUUCGGAUCGUAAAACUCUGUUAGUAGGGAAGAACAAAUGUGUAAGUAACUAUGCACGUCUUGACGGUACCUAAUCAGAAAGCCACGGCUAACUACGUG